GACGAACGCUGGCGGCGUGCUUAACACAUGCAAGUCGAACGAAGAGCGAUGGAAGCUUGCUUCUAUCAAUCUUAGUGGCGAACGGGUGAGUAACGCGUAAUCAACCUGCCCUUCAGAGGGAGACAACAGUUGGAAACGACUGCUAAUACCGCAUACGAUCUAAUCUCGGCAUCGAGGAUAGAUGAAAGGUGGCCUCUACAUGUAAGCUAUCACUGAAGGAGGGGAUUGCGUCUGAUUAGCUAGUUGGAGGGGUAACGGCCCACCAAGGCGAUGAUCAGUAGCCGGUCUGAGAGGAUGAACGGCCACAGUGGGACUGAGACACGGCCCAGACUCCUACGGGAGGCAGCAGUGGGGAAUCUUCCGCAAUGGACGAAAGUCUGACGGAGCAACGCCGCGUGAGUGAUGACGGCCUUCGGGUUGUAAAGCUCUGUUAAUCGGGACGAAAGGCCUUCUUGCGAAUAGUGAGAAGGAUUGACGGUACCGGAAUAGAAAGCCACGGCUAACUACGUG
rnacentral:rRNA from 1 species